rnacentral:rRNA from 1 species
GACGAACGCUGGCGGCGUGCUUAACACAUGCAAGUCGAACGAAGUGGCGAACGGGUGAGUAACGCGUAAUCAACCUGCCCUUCAGAGGGGGACACCAGUUGGAAACGACUGCUAAUACCGCAUACUGAAGGAGGGGAUUGCGUCUGAUUAGCUAGUUGGGGGGGUAACGGCCCACCAAGGCGGUGAUCAGUAGCCGGUUUGAGAGGGUGAACGUCCACAUUGGGAAUGAGAAACGGCCCAGACUCCUACGGGAGGCCGCAGUGGGGAAUCUUCCGCAAUGGACGAAAGGCUGACGGAGCAAAGCCGCGUGGGUGAUGAAGGCCUUCGGGUUGGAAAGCUCUGUUAAUCGGGACGCGGUACCGGAAGAGAAAGCAACGGCUAACUACGUGCCAGCAGCCGCGGUAAUAC